rnacentral:tRNA from 1 species
GGGGAUUUAGCUCAGUGGCAUAAGCACCUGCCUUACAAGCACGCAGUCGUGAGUUCAAUCCCUG